AAGCCAUGGUUUUGCUUCAAGAGCUGGCAGCUUCCCAGGCCAAACCAUCAGGCCUAAAUGCGAGUUACUUGUGAGUGAGUACCACAGCCCAAAUUCCACUGGAUAGAGUUUUCAGCCCCAGGCGCUCUUCCCCAGACGUGGAGUUCACGUGGGUUGCGAGAUUGACACACAGUGGCAAGCGACGACGGGUCUUAAUCUGCCGUAGAU
rnacentral:lncRNA from 1 species